CAGUCACCCUUUGCCUCCAGAGGCUACCCAGGUGUGGACAGCAAUGCUUGCGAAGACAAAACUGAUGCUAAGUCAAAAAUCCACAGUUGCUAUCCUGAAGUGUUUUGUGAGGUUUUGCUGAAUCCUAUGAAGAAAGUCUCUUCCUCUCCUUUCUGUAGGAAAUCUUCUACAGAAAUGGCUGGUUACAAUUUACUGGAGUUCAGAUGUUUGACCAAGAAACUGGAAGAAACAUCUCCAGAUUGCACAGGAUCUGUACGAUUUGAUCAUUGGCUGUUUCCUAUUCUCAGCGUGUGGUGAUCACCUGAUUCACAGGGCACUAUUUCUGCUUCUGGUUUGGAUGGUUACUACUUCUUGGAACAAAAUUUUGUUAUUAUUGUUUUCAUAUGUCUUUGAAAUGUGUUUAUGGUCCUCACAAAAAACCAAAUAAAG